GGGUCUGGGGGGGCUCAGCCCAGCACAGGUCUGGGGGGAGCUCAGGCCCAGGUGGGGUCUGGGGGGGGCUCAGCCUAGCACAGGUCUGGGGGGAGCUCAGGCCCAGGUGGGGUCUGGGGGGGGCUCAGCCUAGCACAGGUCUGGGGGGAGCUCAGGCCCAGGUGGGGUCUGGGGGGGGCUCAGCCUAGCACAGGUCUGGGGGGAGCUCAGGCCCAGGUGGGGUCUGGGGGGAGUUCGGGCCCAGGUGGGGUCUGGGGGGGCUCAGCCCAGCACAGGUCUGGGGGGAGCU